rnacentral:rRNA from 1 species
CCGUGUCCUGCACACACCGGUCUGCCGACUUUGGACGUGGCCUGCCUACAACGAUCAGCAGACGUUGGAGGUGGCUUGCCAGCAUCAUCUGUGGCCUGCACACAUCGGUUUGCCAACGUCGAACGUGGCCUGCGAGCGUCGUUUGUGUCCUGCACACACCGUUUUCCCAACGUUAGACGUGGCCUGGCUGCAACGCCCGUGGCGUGCACACAUCGGUUAGCCGACAUUGGAUGUGGCCUGCCCGCAUAGUCUGUGGAUUGCACUCGUUAAACGAGCGACAUCGCAUGUGACGACAUUUGCCUGCUCCAGACGCUGGCCUAUGGGCUCCCCAUUCGACUCGUCUUUAAACACGGACCAAGGAGUCUGACAUGUGUCCAAGUCAACGGGCUAGUAAAUUCGUAAGGCUUAAGGAAUCUGAUUGGUGGGAUCCCCCUAAGGGGUGCACCGCCGACCGACCUUGAUCUUCUGAGAAGGGUUCGAGUGUGAGCAUACAUGUUGGGACCUGAAAGAUGCUGAACUAUGCCUGAGCGAGGUGAAGCCAAAACAUACUCUGGUGGAGGCCCGUAGCGAUACUGACGUGCAAAUCGUUCAUCUGACUUGGAUAUAGGGGCGAAAGACUAAUCGAACCGUCUAGUAGCUAGUUCCCUUCGAAGUCUCCCUCAGAAUAGUUGGAGCUCGCGUGUGAGUUCUAUUGGGUAAAGACAAUGAUUAUAGGAUUCGUGAGCGCAACAGCCUUGACCUAUUCUCAAACUUUAAAUCAGUAGGACGGCGGGACUGCUUUGUCGAGCUGCACCACGAAAUCAGAAGCUCAAAGUGGACCAUUUUUGGUAAGUUGAACUGGCUCUGCGGGAUGAACGGAAAGCUGGCUUAUGGUGCCAAACUGCACUCUAACCAAGAUCCAACAAAGGGUGUUGGUCGAUUAAGACAGCAGGAAGGUGCUCAUGGAAGUCGAAAUCCGCUAAGGAGUGUGUACCAAUUCAGCAGCCAAGUAAACUAACCCCGAAAAUGGAUGGCGCUUGAGCGCGUGACCUACACCCAGCCGUCAGGGAAAGUGCCAGACCCCGAUGAGUUGGAGGGAAUAGCGAUCGCUGUAAAACCUUGGGCAUGAACCUGGGCGGAGCAGCCGUUAAUGCAGAUCUUGGUGGUAGUAGCAAAUAUUCAAAUGAGAACUUUGAAGGGUGAAAAGGGGAAAGGUUCAAUGUGAAUGGCACUAGCACAUGGGUUAGUCGAUCCUAUGGGUCGAGGGAACCCCGACAGAUAAUGCAUUUCGUGCGUACCCCGAAAGGGAACCGGGUUAAGAUUCCGGAAUCGGGACGUGGCGGUUGACGACAACGAUUGGAAGUCGGUGGAAGCCUCGGGAAGAGUUGCCUUUUCUGUUUCACAUCAUGCCCACCAUGGAAUCGGCUCUGCCGGAGGUAGGGUCCAACGGCUGGAAGAGCACCACACGUCACGUGGUGUCCGGUGCUCUCCCGACGAUCCUUGAAAAUCCAGAGGACCGAAUGUUGUCCACGGUUGGUCGUACUCAUAACCGCAUCAGGUCUGCAAGGUGAACAACCUCUAGUUGAUGGAACAAUGUAGGCAAGGGAAGUCGGCAAAAUGGAUCCGUAACUUUGGGAAAAGAAUUGGCUCUGAGGGUUUGGCAUGGGUAUCCCAGUCCCGAACCCACUGGCUGUCGGUGGACUUCUUGAGCAGAUCCCGCAGAAAAAGCGGGUCGCCGUGUGCCGGCCAGGGGACGAACUGGGAACGGUUCCUUCGGGGGGCUUCCCCGGGAGUCAAACAGCUAAUUCAGAACUGGUAUAGGCAAGGGGAAUUCGACUAUUUAAUUUUAACAAAGCGUUGCGAUGGUCCCAACGAAUGUUUACGCAAAGUUAUUUUUGUCCAGUGCUCUAAAUGUCAAAGUGAAGAAAUUCAACCAUGCGGGGGUAAACGGCCGGAGUGACUAUGACUCUCUUAAGGUAGCCAAAUGCCUCAUCAUCUUAUUAGUGAUGGGCAUGAAUGUAUUAACAAGAUUUCCACUGUCCCUGUCUAAUAUACAGCGAAACCACAGCCAAGGGAACAGGCUUGGCAAAAUCAACGGUUAAAGAAGACCAUAUUUAGCUUGAGUCUAGUCCGACUUUAUGAAAUGACUUCAGUGGUGUAGUAUAAGGGGGAGUCGGAAGGCGAAAGUGAAAGUGGGGAACUACCCCUAUUUUUUUACCCAAGGCUCACUUCGCGGGCCGAUCCGAGGGCAGACAUUGUCUGGUGGGGAGUUUAGCUAGGGCGGCACAUCUGUUAAAAGAUAACGCAGGUGUCCUAAGAUGAGCUCAACGAGAAUAGAAAAAUCGUGUGGAUCAGAAGGAUAAAAACUCGUUCGAUUCUGAUUUCCAGUACGAAUACGAAUCGUGAAAGCGUGGCCUAACGAUCUAUUAGAGCUUCGAAAUUCUAAGCUAGAGGUGUCAGAAAAGUUACCACAAGGAUAACUAGCUUGUGGCAGCCAAGUUAUAUAGCGAAGUUUAUUUUUGAUCCUUCGAUGUCGGCACUUCCUAUCAUUGUGAAUCAAAAUUCACCCAAGUGUUGAUUGUUCACCCACCAAUAGGGAAUGUGAGCUGGGUUUAGACCAUCGUGAGAAAGGUUAGUUUUACCCUACUGAUGACAGUGUCGCAAUAGUAAUAUAAUCUAGUAAGAGAGGAACCGUUGAUUCACAUAAUUAGUCAUCGCGCUUGGUUGAAAAGCUAGUGGCGCGAAGCUACCAUGUGUUGGAUUAUGAAUGAACGCCUCAAAGUCAGAAUCCAGGCAAGAAACGACGCAUGCGCCCGCCGUCAGCUUGCCGACCCGCAGUAGGGGCCAUUAGCCCCCAAGGGAACGUUUUGUUGGCUAAGUCACCGCGACGGAAGCGGCGCGGUGACUGCCUUGAAGUACAAUUUCCAUUGAGCGGUGGGUAGAAUCCUUUGCAGAAGACAUAAAUACGUGACGGGGUAUUGUAGGUGGAAGAGUGGCCUUGCUGCCACAAUCCACUGAGAUACAACCCUUCGUCACUCCGAUUCCA